rnacentral:rRNA from 1 species
AUUGAACGCUGGCGGCAGGCUUAACACAUGCAAGUCGAGCGAGCGGCGGACGGGUGAGUAAUGUCUGGGAAACUGCCUGAUGGAGGGGGAUAACUACUGGAAACGGUAGCUAAUACCGCAUACCAUCAGAUGUGCCCAGAUGGGAUUAGCUAGUAGGUGGGGUAAUGGCUCACCUAGGCGACGAUCCCUAGCUGGUCUGAGAGGAUGAACGACCACACUGGGACUGAGACACGGUCCAGACUCCUACGGGAGGCAGCAGUGGGGAAUAUUGCACCAUGGGCGAAAGCCUGAUGCAGCCAUGCCGCGUGUGUGAAGAAGGACUUCGGGUUGUAAAGCACUUUCAGCGGGGGGGCGUUACUCGCAGAAGAAGCACCGGCUAACUCCGUGCCAGCAACCGCGGUAAUUC